rnacentral:rRNA from 1 species
GACGAACGCUGGCGGCGUGCUUAACACAUGCAAGUCGAACGGAAAGGCCCUGCUUUUGUGGGGUGCUCGAGUGGCGAACGGGUGAGUAACACGUGAGUAACCUGCCCUUGACUUUGGGAUAACUUCAGGAAACUGGGGCUAAUACCGGAUAGGAGCUCCUGCUGCAUGGUGGGGGUUGGAAAGUUUCGGCGGUUGGGGAUGGACUCGCGGCUUAUCAGCUUGUGGGUGGGGUAGUGGCUUACCAAGGCUUUGACGGGUAGCCGGCCUGAGAGGGUGACCGGCCACAUUGGGACUGAGAUACGGCCCAGACUCCUACGGGAGGCAGCAGUGGGGAAUAUUGCCCAAUGGGCGGAAGCCUGAUGCAGCAACGCCGCGUGCGGGAUGACGGCCUUCGGGUUGUAAACCGCUUUCGCCUGUGACGAAGCGUGAGUGACGGUAAUGGGUAAAGAAGCACCGGCUAACUACGUG